AAAUACAAGGUAAUCAUACUCUCCUACCACAAUGUUGCGGCUGCAAACACUUGGAGAUAAACAUCAGUUUAAGAUAUUAUAACUCACUUGUGUAAUCAAGAAAACGAUUACUGAUAAGAAAUAAAAAUAUCAUUUUAACGAUUUAUCAUGUAUACUACUAUCUAGCAAUUACGUGAUUCAUACAGUCUGAUUAACUAAUUUAAUAUACUUACAAUGUUAGUAAUCAAUUUUAAUGAUAAAAAUAAAGAUCAAAUAGAUGAUAGGAAAUAGAUGGAAUUAUAUGUACAGCAGUGAAUAUUACAAAUAGUAUUUCAUAAUUGUUUGUAUUUCCAAGAUCCGGUUUAUCAAAAUAUUAAACUUAUAACUUCAAUCAAGUUAUUUUGAACAUAUACAUGUAUGUACAUAUGUAUUUUAAUCAAACAGACCGAAUCCCAUAUCCUCAUCUUCUGAUUCAGAUUCUUCUUUCUUUUCUUCCUUCUUUUCUGCAGCUGGUGCUUCUGCGG